rnacentral:rRNA from 1 species
GAAAGGUGAAGGACUUACUCUUCGGAGUGAGAGCGUACACAGGUGCUGCAUGGCUGUCGUCAGCUCGUGUCGUGAGAUGUGGUUAAGUCCCGCAACGAGCGCAACCCUGCAUUCAGUUGCCAUCGGUAAGGCCGGGCACUCUGGAUGGACUGCCGGCGACAAGCCGGAGGAAGGUGGGGACGACGUCAAGUCAUCAUGGCCCUUAUGUCCAGGGCGACACACGUGCUACAAUGGCCGGCACAACGGGAAGCGAAGGGGCGACCCUGAGCGGAUCCCACAAAAGCCGGUCUCAGUUCGGAUUGCAGUCUGCAACUCGACUGCAUGAAGUUGGAAUCGCUAGUAAUCGUGGAUCAGCCAAGCCGCGGUGAAUACGUUCCCGGGCCUU